AAUUCCCUUAUUUCUUUGCAUGCUAACAUUAGGUAGAUGUUCCCAUUUGUAAAUCCUAACACAUAAGUCCAUAUUGCAUGACAACUCUAGGGCAGAGCUUCCUCAUUUUUUAGACCUUUCCGAGCGUCUCCGAUCCUGUGGCAUGUCAUUCCUUCCUAUUGCAGAGACACCUGCUGCUAGGACGUGAACACAUUGUCCAUUCUCAUUUGACAC
rnacentral:lncRNA from 1 species